AUGCAGAGAACUUUCCAGAGAUGGAUUGGUGCCUUCGGGAACUCUGACACAGGUGCUGCAUGGCUGUCGUCAGCUCGUGUCGUGAGAUGUUGGGUUAAGUCCGUAACGAGCGCAACCCUUGUCCUUAGUUACCAGCACGUUAUGGUGGGCACUCUAAGGAGACUGCCGGUGGACAAACCGGAGGAAGGUGGGGAGUGACGUCAAGUCAUCAUGGCCCUUACGGCCUGGGCUACACACGUGCUACAAUGGUCGGUACAAAGGGUUGCCAAGCCGCGAGGUGGAGCUAAUCCCAUAAAACCGAUCGUAGUCCGGAUCGCAGUCUGCAACUCGACUGCGUGAAGUCGGAAUCGCUAGUAAUCGUGAAUCAGAAUGUCACGGUGAAUACGUUCCCGGGCCUU
rnacentral:rRNA from 1 species